ACUUCCAUAAAAACUUCCAUGAACACCUGAGCUUCUUUCUCCGUUCUUUCUCAAACUAAAACCCCUAUAAAAAAUUUAAUCCGACCAAAGUGUUCACCUAUUCCUCCUCUUCAUUUCUAUGUCAUUUUUCAAGGAGUAAAUCAAGAUAUGAUGGCAGCUCUUCCUCCUUGAAGUUUCAGCCAUGGUGAAAACUCAAGUUGAUGGCGUAAAAGUACUUUUGGAAGCUUGUUCUUGGUUCAAUUCUUGGCAGCUGUAAAGGAGAUGGAAGCAUGAGUACCCUUCCGUAGUUCGCUGAUGACGUUCCACUUGACUUGAGUUUUGAAGACUUAGAACAUACUUUCCCUCGCUUUAGUAGAUUAGAGGGACUAGG